rnacentral:rRNA from 1 species
AUCCUACGGGGGGCAGCAGUGAGGAAUAUUGGUCAAUGGACGAGAGUCUGAACCAGCCAAGUCGCGUGAGGGAAGACUGCCCUAUGGGUUGUAAACCUCUUUUGUCAGGGAGCAACGCCGGCUACGUGUAGCCGGACUGAGAGUACCUGAAGAAAAAGCAUCGGCUAACUCCGUGCCAGCAGCCGCGGUAAUACGGAGGAUGCGAGCGUUACUCGGAAUUACUGGGCGUAAAGGGUGUGCAGGCGGCUGAGUAAGACAGAUGUGAAAUCCCCGGCCUU